UACGAGGGGGGCGAGCGUUGUUCGGAAUUACUGGGCGUAAAGCGUGCGCAGGCGGUUCUAUAAGACAGAUGUGAAAUCCCCGGGCUCAACCUGGGAACUGCAUUUGUGACUGUAGAGCUGGAGUGCGGCAGAGGGGGAUGGAAUUCCGCGUGUAGCAGUGAAAUGCGUAGAUAUGCGGAGGAACACCGAUGGCGAAGGCAAUCCCCUGGGCCUGCACUGACGCUCAUGCACGAAAGCGUGGGGAGCAAACAGG
rnacentral:rRNA from 1 species